CUUGAGGGCAGCCUGAUGGAACUAGAAUUGUGUGGAUAGUCUACUAAUACCCUAUGGUAUUGAAGGUAGCAGAAUGUUUGAAAUAUGUUCAACGAAAUUUUGAGUUUGAAAGCGAUGGACACUAUGGUGCAGGAAUGAUUAUGAAAUGUGAGAAAAAAGGGCUUGCCAAUGGAUUUACUUAUUUAAUGCUUGUCAUUCUACUAUUUUCAUAUGAAUUGUGAUAAUACUGCUUAACUGUAAAGUAAGGGGUUGGCAGGGUUAGGAUUAUUCAACUGGGUGAAUUAUUACUUACGGAUACGUUGUAUCUUGGUAAAUCGGUUGCUUCGGCGAUCAAUUUGCCAGAGGGUGCAGAAUUCUAGGGUGGAGCAGUUUGACAUAGGAGGAAUACCAUGAGCGGAGACCGAGUAUGCUUGGGAUCUGUAUCAAGAUUAGAGCCGCUCUGAAGUUAUUUCAACAAAAUGUCAGAUUUUGUUUAGGUUAAUUAAGUAUUUUUUUUUUCCGAGUCAGUAUCUUUCAGGAGAAGUCGGCUCAAUGCUUAUCAGACAAAUGUUUACCUUUGAAUAAAAGCUCAGUAUUUUC